UAAUACGAAGGGGGCUAGCGUUGUUCGGAAUUACUGGGCGUAAAGCGCGCGUAGGCGGACGCUUAAGUCAGGGGUGAAAGGCCGGGGCUCAACCCCGGAACGGCCUUUGAUACUGGGUGUCUGGAGUCCGGAAGAGGUUGGUGGAAUUCCGAGUGUAGAGGUGAAAUUCGUAGAUAUUCGGAGGAACACCAGAGGCGAAGGCGGCCAACUGGUCCGGAACUGACGCUGAGGCGCGAAAGCGUGGGGAGCAAACAGGAUUAGAUACCCUGGUAGUCCACGCCGUAAACGAUGGAUGCCAGCCGUUGGCGGGCGUGCCCGUCAGUGGCGCAGCUAACGCAUUAAGCAUCCCGCCUGGGGAGUACGGUCGCAAGAUUA
rnacentral:rRNA from 1 species